AGUGAACGCUGGCGGUAGGCCUAACACAUGCAAGUCGAACGGCAGCACAGUAAGAGCUUGCUCUUACGGGUGGCGAGUGGCGGACGGGUGAGGAAUACAUCGGAAUCUACUUUUUCGUGGGGGAUAACGUAGGGAAACUUACGCUAAUACCGCAUACGACCUACGGGUGAAAGCAGGGGAUCUUCGGACCUUGCGCGAUUGAAUGAGCCGAUGUCGGAUUAGCUAGUUGGCGGGGUAAAGGCCCACCAAGGCGACGAUCCGUAGCUGGUCUGAGAGGAUGAUCAGCCACACUGGAACUGAGACACGGUCCAGACUCCUAUGGGAGGCAGCAGUGGGGAAUAUUGGACAAUGGGCACAAGCCUGAUCCAGCCAUACCGCGUGGGUGAAGAAGGCCUUCGGGUUGUAAAGCCCUUUUGUUGGGAAAGAAAAGCAGCAGGUUAAUACCCCGCUGUUCUGACGGUACCCAAAGAAUAAGCACCGGCUAACUUCGUG
rnacentral:rRNA from 1 species